rnacentral:rRNA from 1 species
UAUUUGUUAAAGAUUCAUCGCUGAUAGAUAGGCAUGCGUUCCAUUAGGCAGUUGGUGGGGUAACGGCCCACCAAACCGACGAUGGAUAGGGGUUCUGAGAGGAAGGUCCCCCACAUUGGUACUGAGACACGGACCAAACUCCUACGGGAGGCAGCAGUGAGGAAUAUUGGUCAAUGGGCGAGAGCCUGAACCAGCCAAGUAGCGUGAAGGAUGAAGGUCCUACGGAUUGUAAACUUCUUUUAUACGGGAAUAAAGUUUCCUACGUGUAGGAUUUUGUAUGUACCGUAUGAAUAAGCAUCGGCUAACUCCGUG